rnacentral:miRNA from 1 species
UGUAUGUAUAUGUGCACGUGCAUAUAUGUGUGUACAUAUAUACAUGCAAAUAUCUAUGUGCAUAUAUUGCA